rnacentral:rRNA from 1 species
AUGAACGCUGGCGGCGUGCCUAAUACAUGCAAGUCGCGCGAACAGACGAGGAGCUUGCUCCUCUGACGUUAGCGGCGGACGGGUGAGUAACACGUGGAUAACCUACCUAUAAGACUGGGAUAACUUCGGGAAACCGGAGCUAAUACCGGAUAAUAUAUUGAACCGCAUGGUUCAGUAGUGAAAGACGGUUUUGCUGUCACUUAUAGAUGGAUCCGCGCCGCAUUAGCUAGUUGGUAAGGUAACGGCUUACCAAGGCAACGAUGCGUAGCCGACCUGAGAGGGUGAUCGGCCACACUGGAACUGAGACACGGUCCAGACUCCUACGGGAGGCAGCAGUAGGGAAUCUUCCGCAAAGGGCGAAAGCUUGACGGAGCAACGCCGCGUGAGUGAUGAAGGUCUUCGGAUCGUAAAACUCUGUUAUUAGGGAAGAACAAAUGUGUAAGUAACUAUGCACGUCUUGACGGUACCUAAUCAGAAAGCCACGGCUAACUACGUG